rnacentral:rRNA from 1 species
GUAACGGCGAGUGAAGCGGGAAGAGCUCAAGCUUAAAAUCUCCGUGCAAGUUUUGCGCGGCGAAUUGUAGUCUAUAGAGGCGUGAUCAGUGUGGGCGCUUGGGGCAAGUUCCUUGGAAGAGGACAGCAUGGAGGGUGAUACUCCCGUUUUCAUCCCUGAGUUGCUCGUGCGUACGAUCCGUUUUCUUUGAGUCGCGUUGUUUGGGAAUGCAGCGCAAAGUAGGUGGUAAAUUCCAUCUAAAGCUAAAUAUUGGUGCGAGACCGAUAGCGAACAAGUACCGUGAGGGAAAGAUGAAAAGAACUUUGAAAAGAGAGUUAAAGAGUACCUGAAACUGCUGAAAGGGAACCGAAUCGUUUCCAGUGUCUAUAAUCCGUGGUAUAUUUCAUUGGCGAGUGUGUGCGUGCGUGUGCUGUGGCAGCGGCUUUUUUGGCUGCGCUCGGCGUGUGUGCUGUGUGUGCUUGCUGGUGCCCUGUGCUGCGGUGGGACGUCAAGGUCAGUUCGUAUGCUGCGGGAAAUGGCCGCCGAGGAGGUAGGGCUUACGCUUGCGUUUGUCUGUUAUAUCUUGGUGGACGAGUAGUCGCGGUUGGGACUGAGGUGCCUACAACGUGUUUUUGAGUGGGCCUGUGUCUCUGUGUGCGCCGUGUGCGGAUAGCUUGCUAUGCGUGUGUGGUUGUGUGUGGAUUGAUGUGGGUUUUAACUUGUUGCCGUUCGGGACGUUGACGAAAUGGAGCGAUUUGACCCGUCUUGAAACACGGACCAAGGAGUCUAACAUGUGUGCAAGUGUUAGGGUGUGGAAACCCCAGCGCGAAAUGAAAGUGAAGGGCAGCGUAAGUUGUCUGAGGUAGGAAAUGCUGCGGGCUUCGGUCUGCGGUGUGGCACUAUCGACCGAUCAUGAACCUUCGUGGUGAAAGAUUUGAGUUUGAGCACAUAUGUUGGUACCCGAAAGAUGGUGAACUAUGCCUGAGUAGGGUGAAGCCAGGGGAAACUCUGGUGGAAGCUCGUAGCGAUUCUGACGUGCAAAUCGAUCGUCAAACUUGGGUAUAGGGGCGAAAGACUAAUUCG